UUUUAGCCAAGGCUGCAGCUUAGCGAUAGACCAUGAGUUGAGCCGGAAUGGAACUGGAUUCAGUCCUCAAGGGUCUCACGUGUAGUCCAGGACUGCCUGGAUCCUCUUCCUCCGUGGCCUGGCAAGACCGCAUCACCAGCGGCGAGUGAUCAAAGAGCAGUCAACUGAGUUCCUGAUAGAGGCAGCCCCUGCUCCCCUCACUUGGAGAUCCACAUGGAGACUGAGCUGCCAAUAGGCCACAUCUAGCAGGUAGUCUAUA